rnacentral:rRNA from 1 species
AUGACAAUGGAGCCCUCGCCCCGCCGCGCUAGGGUUGGCGAGCCGGCGGCGGACCCGCUGACGUCCCUCCCGCCGCCCCUGCUCGACGGCAUCCUCACCCGCCUCGACCUCCCUUACGCGGUCCGUACCUCCGCCCUCUCUCGCGCCUGGCGCCGCCGGUGGGAGGCCCUCCCCUACCUCUGCCUCUCCUUCGUCGACAACCCCGGCACGGCCCCCUUGGCUGUCGACCGCGUUCUCGCUCGCUACCCCGGCCGCAUCUCCAACUUCUCCUUCCACGUCGACGAGCACUCCUUCGGCCGCGUCGAUGACUGGCUCGUCGCCCUCUGCGACCGCGGCGUCAGGUCCAUCAACCUCCGAUGCGCCUCCCCCUUCAUCCUCCACUCCUCCCUCUUCCUAUGCGCCCAACUCACGCACCUCAAGCUGCACCAAUGCGGCCUGCCGUCUCUCCCAGUGGGAUUCACUGGAUUCCCCAUGCUCAAGGUUCUAAAACUCGGCCUUGUCGAUUUCCCGGAGAACGGGGAGAGCCAACUGGAGGCGAUUCUUGUCGGGUCACCCUUGCUUGAAACCCUGAAUCUUCACUUUGUGGAUGUCCGUGGGAAUGACGCGUACUCAAACGCGUGGGUGAUUCGCGGGGCCAACCUCCGGAGCCUAACGAUAAGUUCUGACUUUGAUUAUGACUGGCAAGUUAAGGAGCUGCCAUGCAUCGAUGAAGUCGCCAUCGAUGUUGGAAACUAUGUGAGUAAUAUCAAGUUCAGAGGAUUUCUUGCCAGCUUUGCGCAAGUUAGGAAGCUCUCUCUCUGUGCGUGCUACACAUCGUUUACUGGAGGUGGUCUCCUGGAAACACUUCCAUGUACCUUUGACAACUUAAAGAGUUUGACCCUCUGGACACAUUUCUACGAAAUGCCUGCCAUAGUGUUAACCUUUUGCUUACUAAGGAAUGCUCCUAAUCUAGAAGAACUUGAAAUUACGGUUGUGAAAAUGAAAAAUAUUGGCUGGUUGCAAAAUGAAAUGUAUUUCAUAGAGCUCGUUUUAUCUAAAGCAGCAGUUCUUCGCACAAUGCAUCUUAGUCUUGGUUGCAGAAGAUCAAAGUCAAAUGAGGAUGCACUCUGUGAACUAAUGACAUAUAGAAGGGCUUCAACCCAUGCUCGAGUCUUCUUUGACGGUAAAAUGAAAUGA